rnacentral:tRNA from 1 species
CUGGGUGGUGCAAAGGGUUAAUGCGUUCAUCUGCUAACUGAAAGUUUGGCUGUUCGAGUCCACCCAGA